UACGGAGGGUGCAAGCGUUAUCCGGAAUCACUGGGUUUAAAGGGUGCGUAGGCGGCCCGUUAAGUCAGUGGUGAAAGCCUCCAGCUCAACUGGAGAACUGCCAUUGAUACUGACGGGCUUGAGUACAGACGAGGUUGGCGGAAUUGAUUGUGUAGCGGUGAAAUGCAUAGAUACAAUCAAGAACUCCGAUUGCGUAGGCAGCUAACUAGGCUGUAACUGACGCUGAGGCACGAAAGCGUGGGGAGCGAACAGG
rnacentral:rRNA from 1 species